rnacentral:rRNA from 1 species
AGAGUUUGAUCAUGGCUCAGGAUGAACGCUGGCGGCGUGCCUAAUACAUGCAAGUCGAGCGGCAGCACGGUCUUCGGACUGGUGGCGAGCGGCGGACGGCUGAGUAACGCGUAGGAAUAUACCCCAAAGUGAGGGAUAACUGCCCGAAAGGGUGGCUAAUACCGCAUGUGGUCUUCGGACUAAAGCCUUCGGGCGCUUUGGGAAUAGCCUGCGUAAGAUUAGCUAGUCGGUGAGGUAAUGGCUCACCAAGGCGACGAUCUUUAGCUGGUCUGAGAGGAUGACCAGCCAGACUGGAACUGAGACACGGUCCAGACUCCUACGGGAGGCAGCAGUAGGGAAUUUUCCACAAUGGGCGAAAGCCUGAUGGAGCAACGCCGCGUGCAGGAUGAAGGCCCUCGGGUCGUAAACUGCUUUUAUGUGCGAAGAAUAUGACGGUAACACAUGAAUAAGGGUCGGCUAACUACGUG